rnacentral:lncRNA from 1 species
CUGGCAGUGAGCCAAGCGCCAUCUUGUAAUGGCGGGGACUUUCCCGGCUGGAUGCGGUCCCCGACACCUUGAGUUACUCACUCACAUUCUAGUCCACACUCAACCUCCCACAACUCAAGUGCUCCUACUGGUUUAAUGAUUCCAGGAUUUUUUGUUUCAGAGAAAGAAUUCAAGUACACAUAGCCGCAGACAGAGAGAAGGAGAAGCAGGCUCCCUACUGAGCAGAGAGCAGGAUAUGAGGCUCCAUCCAGGGAUCAUGACCCUGGACUGAGCCACACAGGCAGCUCCAUAGGGUUGUUGCCAAACCUGGACUGGAUCCUGGAAGAACCAAGUGGCACUCAGAGACUUUGGAGGAUCGGAGGUUUAUUUAACACCAGUGGACUCAGAGGAGGUUGCUCUCCAAAG